UUAUAUAACAUCAUGUUACUAUUAUUUUGUAGAUAUAUAAAUACAGUUGAAGAAAUGAUGCACAAACAGUAAUCGAAUCAAAGUAGGAUAGGUAACACCGGAUCAGUGCAUUUUAUAUUCCAAACAACAAUGAAGACUCUUGUGCUUAUUGCGUGUUUAGUAACAAUAUCCUACGCCGCUGAUCAAGAAAAAUUGAAGAUAAUGUAUCAAAUCUUCCAAACUUGUCUCGAGGAACAGAAUGCACAAGCAUGGAUUCCAGAAGCGGUUCGAUGUGUAUUAUACAAGCUGGAAUAGU